GUGGGGAAUCUUCCGCAAUGGACGAAAGUCUGACGGAGCAACGCCGCGUGAGUGAAGAAGGUUUUCGGAUCGUAAAGCUCUUUCGUUAGGGACGAACGUGCUCUUUGUGAAUAAUGAGGAGUAAUGACGGUACCUAAAUAAGAAGCCACGGCUAACUACGUGCCAGCAGCCGCGGUAAUACGUAGGUGGCAAGCGUUGUCCGGAAUUAUUGGGCGUAAAGCGCGCGCAGGCGGGAUAUCAAGUCUGUCUUGAAAGUGGGAGGCUCAACCUCGUGAGGGGACAGAAACUGGUAUUCUUGAGUGUCGGAGAGGAAAGUGGAAUUCCAAGUGUAGCGGUGAAAUGCGUAGAGAUUUGGAAGAACACCAGUGGCGAAGGCGACUUUCUGGACGAUGUCUGACGCUGAGGCGCGAAAGCUAGGGGAGCGAACGGGAUUAGAUACCCCGGUAGUCC
rnacentral:rRNA from 1 species